UACGUAGGGGGCAAGCGUUGUCCGGAAUCAUUGGGCGUAAAGAGCGUGUAGGCGGCUCGGUAAGUCCGCUGUGAAAGUCCAGUGCUCAACCCUGGAAUGCCGGUGGAAACUGUCGAGCUAGAGUCCGGAAGAGGCGAGUGGAAUUCCUGGUGUAGCGGUGAAAUGCGCAGAUAUCAGGAGGAACACCAAUGGCGAAGGCAGCUCGCUGGGACGGUACUGACGCUGAGACGCGAAAGCGUGGGGAGCGAACAGG
rnacentral:rRNA from 1 species